ACAAAAGUAUGUAAAUUUCUUUAAUUUUUCUUAUCUUACAGAAAAAAAGAGGAUUAUUGCAAAGAAAAAUUUUAAUUCAAAAAUACUGGAAAACACUGGAAAACUGGUUUGCUCUAUUUCUAUCACCAUUAAUUAAACCAGGAAUAGGACGGAAGCAGACUCAUGCGAAGAUGUAAAUUCAGGAAGCUCGACUAGGCUACAGCUUGUUAAACUGGUUACCGAGAUGGGCAUAAGAGGCAAGAAGCUGUGAACAAGAGCUACAUCAAGAAUUUUGCACCAUAUUUAGAGUUCUUACUUUUUUUUCUAAUAGUUUUUUCAAAAGUGCUCAAACAUACUCUGCAGACACGUGCGAGGUGUUCACUAUUGAUAUAGUCAAGUACGUGAGAGUUUCUAGGAAAUUACAUGUCAAGCGUCACUCUGUCGAUGUGUCUAUAAGUUCAAGCUCCACGAACGUUUACAAUAUGUGUCACGCAAUCUCUCUAUCGUCAUGCUUUUCAAGUGGACACACAUACAUACACAGAGAACAAAGAUGGCAUGGAGGUGCGCAUUCACGUCGUGGGUGGUGUGAAUUGACAAGAACAUUACUCGAGCAAAAUUUUCCCCAUCGAUGGUGUUGCAGAUUUUACUGUAAUCACGUUUUCGCUAUAUAAUUAUCGCACAAAGUGGAUAUGAAUAUCGGCGAAAGUUAUUCGCCGAGACGCUCGACCCAUCUUCAACAAUUAAAGCAUUGCGAAACAAAAUCUGCUUUGUGCGUCUAUGAUUUUCCUUUAAUAUAAAAUAUAGCAAAUUAUUUCUAUCAAUAGUUAACAUAAAAGUGAUUUGAAAAUGUCAAAAAUAAUUGAAUUUGUCAUUUAUUGAUGUAUGAAGAUUGGAUAAUUAUUUAUA